GCGGUGGAUCAUGUUGUUUAAUUCGAUGAUACGCGAAGAACCUUACCAGGUCUUGACAUCCCCGCAAUGCUCUGGAGACAGAGCGGAGGUAUCCGGGGAGACAGGUGGUGCAUGGUUGUCGUCAGCUCGUGUCGUGAGAUGUUGGGUUAAGUCCCGCAACGAGCGCAACCCUUGUCUUUAGUUGCCAUCAUUAAGUUGGGCACUCUAAAGAGACUGCCGAUGACAAAUCGGAGGAAGGUGGGGAUGACGUCAAAUCAUCAUGCCCUUUAUGUCCUGGGCUACACACGUGCUACAAUGGUCGGUACAACGAGAAGCAAGUCAGCGAUGGCAAGCAAAUCUCUAAAAGCCGAUCCCAGUUCGGAUUGCAGGCUGCAACUCGCCUGCAUGAAGUCGGAGUUGCUAGUAAUCGCGGAUCAGAAUGCCGCGGUGAAUGCGUUCCCGGGUCUU
rnacentral:rRNA from 2 species